rnacentral:rRNA from 1 species
UGUGAAAUGUUGGGUUAAGUCCCGUAACGAGCGCAACCCUUGUCCUUAGUUGCCAGCGCGUAAUGGCGGGAACUCUAAGGAGACUGCCGGUGACAAACCGGAGGAAGGUGGGGACGACGUCAAGUCAUCAUGGCCCUUACGGGGUGGGCUACACACGUGCUACAAUGGCCGGUACAGACGGUUGCAAACCCGCGAGGGGGAGCCAAUCCGAGAAAACCGGUCGUAGUCCGGAUUGCAGUCUGCAACUCGACUGCA